UAUCUAUAUUUGUUACUAUAAUUGCUUUAUUACGUGGUAUUCAUUUUGUUAACUUCAUUGCCUUUACAGUGGGUUACUCUAUUAAUUCAUGGAUUUAGUAGUUCUUAAAGUUGCUGUUAAGUUCAAUCGAAGCACAGAAGCUGCACAAAAAGCGAAAUAGAAAUGGAGUUUUUGUUAUGGUUUCAAAAGUCGUUGGAUUGUGUGAGUAACAGCCGAUUAUAUUCUCAGAAAUACGCUACCAACGAUAAUGCACCUGAGUUGGACAAUAUAUUUGUUUCUCCGUUUAAUGUUUCUUUGUACUUAGUGGUUUGCUUUUAUAUAAAAAAAAAACUUAUUCUGUUGUU